UGCAAGUAGAACGCUGAAGCUUGGUGCUUGCACCGAGCGGAUGAGUUGCGAACGGGUGAGUAACGCGUAGGUAACCUGCCUCUUAGCGGGGGAUAACUAUUGGAAACGAUAGCUAAUACCGCAUAAAAGUCGAUAUCGCAUGAUAUUGAUUUGAAAGGUGCAAAUGCAUCACUAAGAGAUGGACCUGCGUUGUAUUAGCUAGUUGGUGAGGUAACGGCUCACCAAGGCGACGAUACAUAGCCGACCUGAGAGGGUGAUCGGCCACACUGGGACUGAGACACGGCCCAGACUCCUACGGGAGGCAGCAGUAGGGAAUCUUCGGCAAUGGGGGCAACCCUGACCGAGCAACGCCGCGUGAGUGAAGAAGGUUUUCGGAUCGUAAAGCUCUGUUGUAAGAGAAGAACGAGUGUGAGAGUGGAAAGUUCACACUGUGACGGUAACUUACCAGAAAGGGACGGCUAACUACGUGCCAGCAGCCGCGGUAAUACGUAGGUCCCGAGCGUUAUCCGGAUUUAUUGGGCGUAAAGCGAGCGCAGGCGGUUAGAUAAGUCUGAAGUUAAAGGCUGUGGCUUAACCAUAGUACGCUUUGGAAACUGUUUAACUUGAGUGCAGAAGGGGAGAGUGGAGUUCCAUGUGUAGCGGUGAA
rnacentral:rRNA from 1 species